rnacentral:rRNA from 1 species
CCCUUAGAUGUCCUGGGCCGCACGCGCGUUACACUGAUGCAUUCAACGAGCUUAUAACCUUGGCCGAGAGGCCUGGGCAAUCUUGUUAACGUGCAUCGUGAUAGGGAUAGAUUAUUGAAAUUAUUAAUCUUGAACGAGGAAUUCCUAGUAAACGCAGGUCAUCAAUCUGCAUUGAUUACGUCCCUGCCCUUUGUACACACCGUCCGUCGCACCUACCGAUUGGAUGGUCCGGUGAAGCCUCGGGAUUGUGGUUCUUGCCGCUUUAUUGUGGCGUGACCGCGAGAACUUGUCUAAACCUUAUCAUCUAGAGGAAGGUGAAGUCGUAACA